ensembl:lncRNA
CCCCAGUUAGUCAAGUACAAACUCUAAGACUAUGUGCCAUAUUUCUAGAAAGAAGAGCGGCACCACCCCAGGAGGGAUGAAGACCAUCUCUUUUCAACAGGUCAGGUCUGCCCCAAAAGCUUGUCCAAUUGUCUAUGAAACCUAUGUUAUUCUGCGGGCACUACUUAGACAUCCAGCCAUUGAGCGAUGACAAUCUGCUAUGUAUCUCAUCACCACGUCACCCAGUUGCCCUGCUGCAAAGGCCCUGUUACCGGAACCGAUCAAUGUACAGGACUCCCUGAGCUAGACGCAUCCAAAGCCGUAUCUAGAGCCCUCACAUUCUUACCGUCCUCAAUUAAAGUUUGGAUGCGUGUCUCUAAUUCUGAAAUCUUCUCUGUCAGCCUAACUAUUUCCCUGCAUUUAUCACAUGUGAAUCCCUCGUCACCGACAGAGAUAGAUAAACUAUACAUGUGGCAAGCAGUGCAAAUAACAAUAGCAGGAGAAGCCAUUACUCACCGUGCUUGAUGAAAGAUUCUUACCACAGUUGUUUGAUGAACUUGUGAAAACCGGAGAGAGAGAGUAGCGAGAGAGAGGAGAGGAGGAAAGAAAACAGCGAUAGGCACAAAUGGAAAUGCUAAUGACAAGCUAACGAGUGCUAACGCCCAUGUAGAUGGAGAAGAGAAGUGGUCCAAGUACUGAGCCUUGAGUAACCCCAGUAGCAAGAAGUUGUGACUUAGACAUCUCACCCCUCCAAGACACCCUGAAGGAUCUAUCAUAAAGGUAGGACUUAAACCACUGGAGUGUGGUUCCAGAGAUGCCCAUCUUUCUGAGGGUGGACUGGAUAAUCUGGUGAUUAACAGUGUCAAAAGCAGCAGACAGGUCCAGCAAGAUGAGUACUGAGGAUUUUGAAGCUGCUCUUGCCAGUCGCAGGGCUUCAGUAACCGAGAGCAGAGCAGUCUCAGUUGAGUGGCCGCUUUUGAAGCCAGAUUGGUUGCUGUCCAGGAGGUUGUUCUGUACAAGAAACAUAGAGAGCUGGUUGAACACAGCUCGUUCAAGUGUCUUUGCAAUGAAUGGAAGAAGGGAUGUAGUUUUCUAGAAGUGCUGGAUUUAGAGAUGGUUUCUUCAGCAGUGGGCUUAAGGCCAAUUUAUACUUCUGCGUCGAGUGUACGCCGUAGUGUACGUCGUAGGCUACGCACGUAGGCGACGCCGUCGUGAGCAUUUAUACUUCUGCGUAUGUCUGUUUUGCUCUGCAGUUACACCGCCGAAACGCUAGUUGACGCGAGCGGGUUCCACUGUUUACAUUCCUCGAUCCUCGCGGGCUUCUACGAACAAAGUCUUUGUAAUCUCCCGAAGAGGAGUCAUACAGAUGGCUGUAUUUCCUCACUUCUUCAAUUAAUCGCUCGGUCACUUGGUCACUUUCCAUGUUGGCUCUUCACUGAAUUUCGGAAUUUAAAAAUGGCGGGCGGUCCAGAGUGCAGAAGAUCAUUCCGGAAAUGCGUAGGAGGAAACGUGAUACUACCAAGCCGACCAAUCACAGAUCUUGCAGUCCGUGUCGUCGCGACGUGUAGUUACAUUUUUGAGGAGGUGCGCGUCAGGUAUAAAUUGGCCUUUACCCGAGCCUGCUUAAAUGCUGAGGGAAAUGUUCCAGAGUGAGGAGAGGAGUUGAUAAUGUGAGUAAGUGAAGGUAUUACUGAAGAAGAAAUUGCUUGGAGGUGAGUGGGGAUCGGAUCAAGUGGACAAGUAGUAGGAUGACUGGACAGGAUAAGUUUGGAAACGUCCGUCUCUGAGAGUGGAGAGAAGGAGGAGAGAGAGUGUGCAUUAGUCGCUGUGAAGUUAUCCUCAGUCUGCGGUGUGGAGAAUUGGUCACUGAUGGUUCUUGUCUUAUUUGUGAAGAAAACUGCAAAGUCGUCAGCUGUAAGAGUCGAUUGAGGAGGAGGUGGAGGCGGAUUAAGAAGAGAAGAGAAAGUUUUGAAGAGUGUCCGAGCAUCACAACAGUUGUUUAUUUUGUUGUGGUAGUAUGAUGUUUUAGCAGUGAGGACGUUUGCAGAGAAGGAAGAGAGGAGAGACUGAUACACACUGAGGUCGGUAGAGUUUCUUGAUUUAUGCCAUUUCCUCUCUGCAGCCCUGAGUUUAGAGUGAUGUUCACGGAGAACAUCGGACAGCCAGGGGGCAGAUGGGGUGGUGCGUGGUGGUCU